rnacentral:rRNA from 1 species
AUUGAACGCUGGCGGCAGGCCUAACACAUGCAAGUCGAGCGGUAGCACAGAGAAGCUUGCUUCUUGGGUGACGAGCGGCGGACGGGUGAGUAAUGCCUGGGGAUCUGCCCGAUAGAGGGGGAUAACUACGGGAAACUGUAGCUAAUACCGCAUAAUGUCUACGGACCAAAGUGGGGGCUCUUCGGACCUCAUGCUAUCGGAUGAACCCAGGUGGGAUUAGCUAGUUGGUGAGGUAAUGGCUCACCAAGGCGACGAUCUCUAACUGGUUUGAGAGAAUGACCAGUCACACUGGAACUGAGACACGGUCCAGACUCCUACGGGAGGCAGCAGUGGGGAAUAUUGCACAAUGGGGGAAACCCUGAUGCAGCCAUGCCGCGUGUGUGAAGAAGGCCUUCGGGUUGUAAAGCACUUUCAGCGAGGAGGAAAGGGGGUAACUUAAUACGUUAUCUCUGUGACGUUACUCGCAGAAGAAGCACCGGCUAACUCCGUGCCAGCCGCCGCAGUAACAC